rnacentral:rRNA from 1 species
AGAGUUUGAUCCUGGCUCAGAACGAACGCUGGCGGCGUGCUUAACACAUGCAAGUCGAACGCGAAAGAGGUCUUCGGACCUCUCUAGAGUGGCGCACGGGUGAGUAACGCGUAGAUAAUCUACCCCCAUAUUUGGGAUAACAGCUCGAAAGGGCUGCUAAUACCGGAUACACUUAUUUGAACGCGAGUUUGAGUGAGGAAAGGUGACCUCUCCAUGGAAGUUACUGUAUAGGGAUGAGUCUGCGUACCAUUAGCUAGUAGGUAGGGUAAAGGCCUACCUAGGCGACGAUGGUUAGCGGGUCUGAGAGGAUGAUCCGCCACACUGGAACUGGAACACGGACCAGACUCCUACGGGAGGCAGCAGUGAGGAAUAUUGCGCAAUGGGGGAAACCCUGACGCAGCGACGCCGCGUGGGUGAUGAAGGCCUUCGGGUUGUAAAGCCCUGUCAGGUGGGAAGAAGUGCAUAAUGGCUAAUAUCCAUUAUGUUGACGGUACCACCAAAGAG